CUACCACGGCGACGAUCUAUAGCUGGUCUGAGAGGAUGAUCAGCCACACCGGGACUGAGACACGGCCCGGACUCCUACGGGAGGCAGCAGUGGGGAAUAUUGCGCAAUGGGCGAAAGCCUGACGCAGCCAUGCCGCGUGUGUGAAGAAGGCCUUCGGGUUGUAAAGCACUUUCAAUUGGGAGGAAAGGCUCACGGUUAAUAACCGUGAGCUGUGACGUUACCUUUAGAAGAAGCACCGGCUAACUCCGUGCCAGCAGCCGCGUAAUACGGAGGGUGCAAGCGUU
rnacentral:rRNA from 1 species